rnacentral:Y_RNA from 1 species
GGCUGGUCCAAUGGUAGAGGGUUAUCAGAAUUUAUUAACAUUAGUGUUACUAAAGUUGGUAUUCAACCCCCCACUGCUAAAUUUGACUGGCUUUAA